rnacentral:rRNA from 1 species
CAUUGGAGCUUGCUCCUUUAUUUAGCGGCGGACGGGUGAGUAACACGUGGGCAACCUGCCCUGCAGAUCGGGAUAACUCCGGGAAACCGGUGCUAAUACCGAAUAGUUUGCGGCCUCUCCUGAGGCUGCACGGAAAGACGGCAUCUCGCUGUCACUGCUGGAUGGGCCCGCGGCGCAUUAGCUAGUUGGUGGGGUAAUGGCCUACCAAGGCAACGAUGCGUAGCCGACCUGAGAGGGUGAUCGGCCACACUGGGACUGAGACACGGCCCAGACUCCUACGGGAGGCAGCAGUAGGGAAUCUUCCGCAAUGGACGAAAGUCUGACGGAGCAACGCCGCGUGAGUGACGAAGGUUUUCGGAUCGUAAAACUCUGUUGUGAGGGAAGAACAAGUACCAACUAACUAUUGGUACCUUGACGGUACCUCACCAGAAAGCCACGGCUAACUACGUGCCAGCAGCCGCGGUAAUACGUAGGUGGCAAGCGUUGUCCGGAAUUAUUGGGCGUAAAGCGCGCGCAGGCGGUUUUUAAAGUCUGAUGUG